AACGAACGCUGGCGGCAUGCCUAACACAUGCAAGUCGAACGAGACCUUCGGGUCUAGUGGCGCACGGGUGCGUAACGCGGGGGAACCUGCCCUUAGGUUCGGAAUAACUCCCCGAAAGGGGUGCUAAUACCGGAUAAUGUCUUCGGACCAAAGAUUUAUCGCCUUUGGAUGGGCCCGCGUUGGAUUAGCUAGUUGGUAGGGUAAAAGCCUACCAAGGCGACGAUCCAUAGCUGGUCUGAGAGGAUGAUCAGCCACACUGGGACUGAGACACGGACCAGACUCCUACGGGGGGCAGCAGUGGGGAAUAUUGGACAAUGGGCGAAAGCCUGAUCAAGCAAUGCCGCGUGAGUGAUGAAGGCCUUAGGGUUGUAAAGCUCUUUUACCCGGGAUGAUAAUGACAGUACCGGGAGAAUAAGCUCCGGCUAACUACGUG
rnacentral:rRNA from 1 species